UUGAACCCGAACCAAGUCCACGGCCCAGCAAUAUGACGACUUUCCCUCCAUUAAAACCCUAGCUCUAAAACCCCAAGAGAAAGAGAUAGAUCUCAUUGGAGCGUAAGAAGAUGGCUGCAUGGUAUUGCCAUCGAAACUGUUGCUCCAGCUCUUGGAGAGCCCAUGGACCUGAUGACAGCUUUUCAACUUGUGAUGAAGAAAUCAUUGGCCCAUGAUGGGCUUGUUUGUGGACUUCAUGAAGCUGCCAAGGCAAUUGAAAAGCAUGCUGCGCAACUUUGUAUUCUGGCUGAGGACUGCAACCAGCCUAAUUAUGUGAAGUUGGUCAAAGCACUUU